CUCCACGAGCAUAUAUAUCCGUUGUUGCAGUUAAAAAGUUCGUAGUCGAUUCGUGGAAUUCCUGGCGCGCAUAGCACUAGAGUGCCGUGUGUGUCGAUUCCUCUGUUUCUCGAUAAUGCUUGGCGGUGAUUAAUUUCAUUGUCAAUGUGUUGCGAGUCAUUUACCGUGAAGAAGCAAGCGAUUCAAGCAGGCCACUGGCC
rnacentral:rRNA from 1 species